AUUUCAGCCCGAGGCUUCGGAGUGGCCAUACGUCUUGGGAGAGCGAGAAUUGCCUCCUCUGAGGGAGAGAGGGGCGUGGGGGGGGCAAACAAGUAACCACCGACCGGUUCGCCUUCUAAUCCUAUUGCAAGAGCUUCGUGCGGCAGCGUUUGGCCGACACAUCCUGAGCCUCGCAUGAGGGCGUUCAGACGAAGACAUGGAGAGCACGACUUUAAACCCAGUCCGUCGUGGCUGCACCGAGCAAAGGACGAAUAUGCGUUGUGUAUCAGCCGGGGGAACUGGCCCAAGAACAUCACACAACUGGUGCACCGGUCCAGACAUAUUCCAGGAUCCUGGAUUUGCUUUGUGGGGACAUGAACGAGUCGUUUAUCACCGAUUCCAGCCAAGAGAGAAGCCUCGAGAAGAUCCACCUGACAAGUGGUUUCAUCACUUUCGCCACGUACCAAAUGUUCCACCCCAUUGACAAAGAUUUUCAGGCACCACCUAUUACUAAGUCUAAAAUAACAUAACUCCAACCUUCCUCUCAGACUUCCUGUUUGCACCUCUGUGGACGAGCUGUCCCAUCGAUGUAUGUAUCGGUGUUUGUCUUUUCCGGGGAGAUUGAAAGCAUGACGUUUGUUGUUUGCCGUGACUCAAGGAGCAACACUAGCAGCCGGCAAUCAGCGACAAGUGUUUUCAUACAAAAAGGCCUUUUAAAGUGCUGCAGGUUAUCAAGCAGCACUGGCUACACUUUCACUUCAGUGAGUUAUUCUUCCAUUUUCAGUAGCACACAUGACAGGUGGUACCUUUACAAUUUUGAAAUAAACUAAUUAAUUGAAUGCUUACAGCUAUAAUACUUCAGUUUUUAUACUUUACACAUUAUUUCAGCAGUAAAAUGUCACCAAACUACACAUGCUCAUGAAUCACCCGACUGCUGGCUGGGU
ensembl:lncRNA